GUAAGCUCAAUAUUUCCUUUAAUUUGAGCUAUAAAAUGCAAGAGCUAUACCAAUGGUCCUAAUAACAGUAGGGUUUCCCUUUUAAUUAGGAAUGUAGACAACAUAUUCAUUGUAAUGAAUGUUUGAGUGUGCUGCCCAGAUCAGCCCUACUUCAGCACUGAAGCAGACUCUCAGCGGCAGGUUGUGGUAGCUGAUAGCUCUCCACUGAGCUUCUCUCCGACAAUUCCCUGUGCUGAAGAGAGCCAUCUUGCCUACAGAUAGACAGCUACCAUCAGCUGAAAACAAACUGCCUCAUCUAAGGUCAUGUUUCUUCUCAGGGACAUCCUGAAUCAAAUGACUAAUUGUUGUGGCAGUAUAAAGACCCAGGAUCCUGUGAGAGUCUGGGGUAUGUGAAAACAAAAAUUAAAUCAAGUCCUGGCCCAGGUCCAGCUCAUAAUGGAUCUACUGGGCCACCCAGCAUUUAUUUCCCUGGUCCUUGAAUAUAUAACUGGAAUAGAAUACUUUAUAGUUGGCACAGCCUCACUACCCUUGAUUUCUUGACCUGUGGAGUAAGAGCUAUCAUGAUGAGGAAGACCAAGUGGAAGCCCCUGAACUGCCCUUGUCUGGGAACAGAGGAGGUGAAAGUAAAAAUGGCCCCAAUUACUACUUGGGAAAUGUUUGCUUCCUGCCCCUGUAACUCUGGACUCUUCAAGUUUAGAGGUCCUAAUUCCUGGAGGAAAAAUGCUUCUAAUGUAAGACAUAGCGCAAGUCCUAUUAAACUCUGAGCUACAACUAAUGCCUAAGCUCCGCAGGCCAAGAGACCUGCGGGCAAGGCAAGUGUUUUCUUGCUUAUAGAGGUAACUGACUCUGAUCUUCAAAAGGCAAUGGUGCAGUUAUUACCCAAUAGGGACAGAGAAGAAUAUGUUUGGCACCCAGGUAAUGGGCAUUUCUUGGUAUAUCUUUGCUUGAUUUUGACAGUAAAUGGAAGUCUGGUAGCCUCAGACUGAGAAAAGCAUAGUGACCUGUGGUUCAGACCUCUCAAGAUGCAAGUCACUCCAAAAAGUGGGUCACCUGGACCAGUCAAGAUGCUAGUUCAGGGAGAAGGAAAUCUAAAAUAGAUAGUAGAGGAAGGAAACAGUUUGCUGUAUUAAAUGCAAUUGCUUUUCUUCCAGUAAUUUGGACAACACCUUUUGAUCUGCAUGGUGGUAAAUUAUUUCAUUUGUAAUAAUUCAAAUACAAUAACCUUUUUAUGAAACACCUACUUUACCUAUCACAUUGUAUUUUUCAGUUGAUAGACUGAUUUAACUCUGUUUUCCCCCCCAAGUUUUUAGCCUAACAAAUAUAGCAUAAUGUGGUUAGAUCUUGGUUUCCAAAUACAUUCUUCAUCUAAGUCCUUUCCACCUUUCCAUUUUGAACUCAAACCCUACCUCUUCCAUAAAGAUUCCUCUAACUACUAUAGUUUGAAACAAUUAUAUCACUUGUAUGUGAAAUCCUAUUGCACUUGUAAAAACACACAAGUAUACAAUGUCUCUAUUUCAGUGACUACAGGCAAUGAAAUUUGGAUCCAAAUUACUUUAUAAUUGUUUUAUGUUUGCUAACUCCAUUUCUCCCAAAAGAGUAUGAGAAAUAAAUUUCUCGGCCGGACACGGUGGCUCACACCUGUAAUUUCAGCACUUUGGGAGGCCAAGGCGGGCAGAUUACUUGAGGUCAGAAGUUCGAGAACAGCCUGGCCAACACGGUGAUAACUCAUCUCUACUAAAAACACAAAAUUUAGCUGAGUGCGGUGGCACUCACCUGUAAUCCCAGCUACUUGUGAGGCUGAGGCAGGAGAAUUGCUUCAACCCAGGAGGUGGAAGUUGCAGUGCACCAAGUCUGCACCACUGCACUCCAGCCUGGGCAACAGUGCAAGACCCCAACUCAAAAAAAAAAAGAAAAAAGAAAAGAAAAGGAAAGAAAUAAAGAAAGAAAGAGAAAGAAAUUUCUCAUGUAGUUCUAUAUAUCUCACAGUGUCUACAAUACUCUUUCAUUCAUUCAACAAAUAUUUACUGUGUUUACUAUACAUUAAUCAAUGUAUUAGGCACUGAGUAGAUAAAAUACUAUCCUGGUUUCAAGAACUCUCAAAUCUCAUGGGAUGGAAGGGUAAGAAAAUGAGUAAUUAGAAAAAAAGAUGAGUACGCUUGAUGACUGUAGAUAAAUAGGUAACUAUGGGUUGCUAUGAAGCACUUAACUGGUAAAAAGAAAGUAUCUAAGAUGAAAUCUGAAGAAUAACUAGGAGUUAGCCAGAUUAAAGGGAACCGAGUGAUACAAUCAAAGAAUCCUAGAUUUGAAGUUCAAGUUCCCUAGAGCUGGCACUGAAAAGAUAUUAAAAAAUCUGUUCAGCAAAGCUGUUUUUAUACUUAGAUGUAUUUCUGCCAACACAGAUAACUUGAUCUUCAAGCCUAGGCUUUUUUGAUUUCAGGGCUUAAGGUGUUUUUAACUCUGACGCAGGAAAAAUGUCAACUUUGCUUAUUUCUCUUCCUUAUUUCCUUUUUUCUUUGAAAGCUUUGGCUGUGAUAACAGAUAUACAACAAUCAUGUACUUAAAUUGCUUCAGAAAAUAGGAGCAUAAUAAAUUCCAUUUAGCUGCCAACAAAAGAGACAGCACAGACCCUGGAAGAGAGAAACAGAAGAACAGCAGGAAGACACAUUUCAGGGAAAGGAAGGUGGAGAAAUAACAAGAACCUGGAGAGCAGCAGGCUUCCACAAAAAAGAAGAAAUGACUGCACUAGGAAAGUAGAUAUUUUCUUCCUCUUAAAUUAAUUAUCAAGCCCCUAAGGACACAAAUUAAGAAUAGCCCUAACUCCCCGCAGAAGCUACUAUAUAGUGAUCAACCUUUCUUUUACACAGCACAGGGGUUUUGCUCAGCCAUAGCAGCACUCUUAUUUCAUGCAGAGUUCAGAAAGAGGCCAUGGCACUUUCCUGCCCCAUUAACUGUUAGCUACCUGGGUAUGGAGAAAAAGCAUUUAAAAGACACAGCUAACAUGGAUUGCAGUUCUUUAAGCCUGCAAUUGUGAAUAGUGUACAAAUCAACAGGCAUCAAAUAAAUAAAUGGCCUUGACUCAAGGAAAAACAUCUUACAGAAAUUCAAAUGGUCUCUACAGAGUUUGGGUAAAUAAACCCAAAGAUAUAUUAGAAACCAGCUGAUGAUUUUUGAUUCAAACUUCUUGACCUGAAUUUCUUCACCUCUGUCAAGCUUUGUGAGUUCUUUUGUUUUUUUGUUUUUUGUUUUUUGUUUUUCUGAUGGAGUCUCACUCUGUUGCCCAGGCUGGAGUGCAAUGGUGCAAUCUCGGCUCACUGCAGCUUCCACCUCCCGGGUUCAAGUGAUUCUCCUGCCUCAGCCUCCCGAGUAGCUGGGAUUACAGGCACCCGCCACAAUGCCCGGCUAAUUUUUUUUUUUUUUUUGUAUUUUUAGUAGAGACAUGGUUUUACCAUGUUGGUCAGGCUGGUCUCAAACUCCUGACCUCGCGAUCCACCUGCGUUGGCCUCCCAAAGUGCUGGGAUUACAGGCGUGAGCCACCAUGCCCAGCCAAGUUUUUAAUAUUUGAUACUCUGUGGAAGUCAAUAUUUGGUGACUUAAAAUUACUAAUUAUUUAAUGCUUUAAAAAUCUUUAGAGUUAGCCUUUUAUUAAGAAUGAGGACUUAGUAUAGAGCCUAUUAUAAUCUAUUAGUUCAAUGCUUUGACUGGACAAAUUUAAGACUGUAUAAUUCAUUAUUCAGAGACAUUCUAUGUUCAGGAAAAAAGGAUUAAAAAUAAAAUAUUGUUUCAAUAAACCACACAGUAUUUGGACUCAAAAAAGUGAAACUGAAACUAAAAUAUAAAAUUGUAUUCUCCAAAGUUAUUUCCAAAUUAAAGGAAAGUAAAUGUUUCUCUGGAUGUAUCUGUAUAUUGUGGUGUUAAAUGAAGAUCUUCA
rnacentral:lncRNA from 10 species